rnacentral:rRNA from 1 species
GGGGAAUUUUGGACAAUGGGGGCAACCCUGAUCCAGCCAUCCCGCGUGUGCGAUGAAGGCCUUCGGGUUGUAAAGCACUUUUGGCAGGGAAGAAAAGGCGCAGGCUAAUACCCUGUGCUGCUGACGGUGCCUGCAGAAUAAGCACCGGCUAACUACGUGCCAGCAGCCGCGGUAAUACGUAGGGUGCAAGCGUUAAUCGGAAUUACUGGGCGUAAAGCGUGCGUCGGCGGUUUGGCAAGAAAGGUGUGAAAUCCCAGAGCUUAACUUUGGAACUGCACUUUUAACUGCCAGGCUAGAGUAUGUCAGAGGGGGGUAGAAUUCCGCGUGUAGCAGUGAAAUGCGUAGAGAUGCGGAGGAAUACCGAUGGCGAAGGCAGCCCCCUGGGAUAAUACUGACGCUCAGGCACGAAAGCGUGGGGAGCAAAC